rnacentral:rRNA from 1 species
UACGAAGGGGGCUAGCGUUGCUCGGAAUCACUGGGCGUAAAGCGCACGUAGGCGGAUUGUUAAGUCAGGGGUGAAAUCCUGGAGCUCAACUCCAGAACUGCCUUUGAUACUGGCGAUCUCGAGUCCGGGAGAGGUGAGUGGAACUGCGAGUGUAGAGGUGAAAUUCGUAGAUAUUCGCAAGAACACCAGUGGCGAAGGCGGCUCACUGGCCCGGUACUGAUGCUGAGGUGCGAAAGCGUGGGGAGCAAACAGG